UUAAUUAAGAGUUUGAUCCUGGCUCAGGACGAACGCUGGCGGCACGCUUAACACAUGCAAGUCGAACGAGAGAAGAGAAGCUUGCUUUUCUGAUCUAGUGGCGGACGGGUGAGUAACACGUGAGCAAUCUGCCUUUCAGAGGGGGAUACCGAUUGGAAACGAUCGUUAAUACCGCAUAACAUAAUUGAACCGCAUGAUUUGAUUAUCAAAGAUUUAUCGCUGAAAGAUGAGCUCGCGUCUGAUUAGCUAGUUGGUAAGGUAACGGCUUACCAAGGCGACGAUCAGUAGCCGGACUGAGAGGUUGAUCGGCCACAUUGGGACUGAGACACGGCCCAGACUCCUACGGGAGGCAGCAGUGGGGAAUAUUGCACAAUGGAGGAAACUCUGAUGCAGCGAUGCCGCGUGAGGGAAGAAGGUUUUAGGAUUGUAAACCUCUGUCUUCAGGGACGAAAAAAGACGGUACCUGAGGAGGAAGCUCCGGCUAACUACGUGCCAGCAGCCGCGGUAAUACGUAGGGAGCGAGCGUUGUCCGGAAUUACUGGGUGUAAAGGGAGCGUAGGCGGGAUCGCAAGUCAGAUGUGAAAACUAUGGGCUUAACCCAUAAACUGCAUUUGAAACUGUGGUUCUUGAGUGAAGUAGAGGUAAGCGGAAUUCCUAGUGUAGCGGUGAAAUGCGUAGAUAUUAGGAGGAACAUCAGUGGCGAAGGCGGCUUACUGGGCUUUAACUGACGCUGAGGCUCGAAAGCGUGGGGAGCAAACAGGAUUAGAUACCCUGGUAGUCCACGCCGUAAACGAUGAUUACUAGGUGUGGGGGGACUGACCCCUUCCGUGCCGCAGCAAACGCAAUAAGUAAUCCACCUGGGGAGUACGACCGCAAGGUUGAAACUCAAAGGAAUUGACGGGGGCCCGCACAAGCAGUGGAGUAUGUGGAUUAAUUCGAAGCAACGCGAAGAACCUUACCAGGUCUUGACAUCGUAUGCAUAGCUCAGAGAUGAGUGAAAUCUCUUCGGAGACAUAUAGACAGGUGGUGCAUGGUUGUCGUCAGCUCGUGUCGUGAGAUGUUGGGUUAAGUCCCGCAACGAGCGCAACCCUUACUGUUAGUUGCUACGCAAGAGCACUCUAGCAGGACUGCCGUUGACAAAACGGAGGAAGGUGGGGAUGACGUCAAAUCAUCAUGCCCCUUAUGACCUGGGCCUCACACGUACUACAAUGGCUGUCAACAGAGGGAUGCAAAGCCGCGAGGUGGAGCGAACCCCUAAAAGCAGUCUUAGUUCGGAUUGUAGGCUGCAACCCGCCUACAUGAAGUCGGAAUUGCUAGUAAUCGCAGAUCAGCAUGCUGCGGUGAAUACGUUCCCGGGCCUUGUACACACCGCCCGUCACGCCAUGGGAGUCGGUAACACCCGAAGCCUGUAGUCUAACCGCAAGGAGGACGCAGUCGAAGGUGGGAUUGAUGACUGGGGUGAAGUCGUAACAAGGUAGCCGUAUCGGAAGGUGCGGCUGGAUCACCUCCUUU
rnacentral:rRNA from 1 species